rnacentral:rRNA from 1 species
AGCGGCGGACGGGUGAGUAACGCGUGGGUAACCGUACCUCAUACAGGGGGAUGACAGUUGGAAACGACUGCUAAUACCGCAUAAGCGCACAGUACCGCAUGGUACCGUGUGAAAAACUACCGGUGGUAUGAGAUGGACCCGCGUCUGAUUAGCUAGUUGGUGGGGUAACGGCCUACCAAGGCGACGAUCAGUAGCCGACCUGAGAGGGUGACCGGCCACAUUGGGACUGAGACACGGCCCAA